rnacentral:lncRNA from 1 species
GUGAAACUAUAAUCCCUUCGUCAAUAUGAUCCGAUCAAUUACGAGAUAUGGAAUUGUGUCAAUCCCAAAUAUCGAUCAUAUCUUUCACUCCACUAUUAAGUCAAUAUAAGUCGAAAACUCCUUUUCGACUUAUGAGUCCACCUUAGCCAAGGAUUUCGUUAUCAACUUAAUUGAAUGAAACUCAGAUCAUAAUCUCCUACUAUCUAAGAGUGACGAAUCCUUUAUUGGUCAAUCACAAUCUUCAUACGAUUCUUGACGUACCCGAAC